GGUAUCUUAGCUCAGUUGGUAGAGCAACGGACUGAAAAUCCGUGUGUCCCCAGUUCGAUUCUGGGAGAUACCA
rnacentral:tRNA from 1 species